rnacentral:rRNA from 1 species
UGGGGAAUAUUGGACAAUGGGCGCAAGCCUGAUCCAGCAAUGCCGCGUGAGUGAAGAAGGUCUUCGGAUUGUAAAGCUCUUUCGACGGGGACGAUGAUGACGGUACCCGUAGAAGAAGCCCCGGCUAACUUCGUGCCAGCAGCCGCGGUAAUACGAAGGGGGCUAGCGUUGCUCGGAAUGACUGGGCGUAAAGGGCGCGUAGGCGGUGGACACAGUCAGGCGUGAAAUUCCCGGGCUCAACCUGGGGGCUGCGCUUGAUACAUGUUCGCUUGAGUUCGGAAGAGGGUCGUGGAAUUCCCAGUGUAGAGGUGAAAUUCGUAGAUAUUGGGAAGAACACCGGUGGCGAAGGCGGCGACCUGGUCCGAUACUGACGCUGAGGCGCGAAAGCGUGGGGAGCAAACAGGAUUAGAUACCCCUGUAGUCC